rnacentral:rRNA from 1 species
GAUGAACGCUAGCUACAGGCUUAACACAUGCAAGUCGAGGGGCAGCAUAGGGUUUGCUUGCAGACUCUGAUGGCGACCGGCGCACGGGUGAGUAACGCGUAUCCAACCUGCCCAUGGCUAGGGAAUAGCCCGUUGAAAAGCGGAUUAAUGCCCUAUGGCGUCCUUUGCAGACAUCUAACGAGGACUAAAGGUUUACCGGCCAUGGAUGGGGAUGCGUCUGAUUAGGUUGCAGGCGGGGUAACGGCCCACCUGGCCUACGAUCAGUAGGGGUUCUGAGAGGAAGGUCCCCCACACUGGUACUGAGACACGGACCAGACUCC